GACAGAAGCAAGAAUAUCGUCCUGGGGCAGCUGCACCAAUAUGGUCCAAGGUCCCUGACCCACGUUCGCCUGGGUCUAUAUCAGAGGGCAAGGCAGAGCUCCCGGCCCCGUGUUUGUGGGGCAUCAGGCUUGCCUGUACCCAGGCGACAAGCUCACCGUCCCAGGCCGAGGAAGCAGAGGAUGCGGAGCGCAUGAGGCCGCUACUAGGAUGCUGGCCAGCAGCGGCGGGAGGAAGGUAGUUCCCACCGUCCUGGGAGGCUCAGAGGAACCCUUGGGAGCCAGUGCGAAGAACUGGGAAACACUACUUACCACUGGCUGCCUGGCAAUGGACAUGGACAGGACACCUCUGCAAGCUACCCCGGGCACCUUAAGAAACUCCAGUUGGUAACCGAGCAAGCUGACAUUCUGAGCAGUGUGAUGAUAUGGCCUGAUCCUCCAGGAUGUGGUAGAAUGGGAUGUCAGACCCCAUGAGGACAUCAUGAAACCAAGACCUGAAAAGACUGACCUGUUUUCAAGUUACUUAACUAAAUUCCAGAACAAUGCUGAAGAAGAUGUAUAGGAAUGCAAAAAUAUUCAGUUCUGACAGCUCCCGCAUGACUGGAUCACAGGCCUGUGCUAGGCUCCCUAGCUUCAGUAUUUUGUUUUGGUUUCUUUUUUCAGUGUCAGAGAUUGGACCCAGGACCUCAUGUGUGCUGUGUGUACUCUCUACUACUGGGCUACACCCACUGCCUCUAUUUAAUUUUUUUCUGGUUAAUUAGAAUCCUACAUAAUUGUAGAGUAUGAAGUGAAGUUACAGGGCUGGGCUUGUGGCUCAGUGGUGGAGCACUUGCCUAGCACAUGUGAGGCACUGGGUUCAAUCCUCAGCACCACAUAAGAGAAUAAAUAAAUAAAGAUAUCAUGUCUAUCUACAACUAAAAAUAUAAAAACAAAAAAAAACAAAGUGAUGUUACAUAUAUAUAGUGUGGAAUGAAUGAAUCAAGCUAAUAAUAUAUCCAUGACCUUAAAUACUUACCACUCACUCCUCCUGUCGGACUGCAACUUUGUACCCUUUGACCAACACCUCCCCACCCCCCACACCCCAGCCUCCAGUAACCACCACACUAUACUCUGCUUCUAUGGUUUGAUUGUGUUGGAUUCCACAUACAAAUGAGAACAUGUUUAGAAAUACUUCCACAAUAAUAGUUUUGGAGACUUCAGUACCCUACUUUCAAUAAUGGAUCGAAUAUCCAGACAGGUAAAUAAGGAAAUAGAGGACUUGAAAAACACAAAACCAACUGGAUCUAACAGUCAUAUAUACAACACUCCACCCAUCAACCACGGAACACGCGUUCUGCAUUCUUCUCAAGUGCGCAUGGAACAUUCUCCAGACGUGUCAGGCCACACACACAAAUAUUGUAAUAAAUUAAAAAACCUUCUAACAGCCAGACACAAUGACAUGUGCCUGUAAUCCCAGUAACUAGGGAGGUUGAGACAGGAGGAUCAGAAGGUCAAGGCCAAUCUCAGCAAUUGAAUGAGGUCAUCUCAAAGUAAAAAAUAAAAGUGCUGGGGAUGUUGCCCAGUGUAGAGUGCCCCUGGGUUCAAUCCGCAGUACCGCAACAAAACAAACCAAAGCAAAAACAAAACAGUCUUCCAACAGGACUGCUUUACAAGCCAGUUCUAUCAAAUAUCUAAAGGAGAGUAAACACUAGUCUUUCUCAGUCUCUUCCAAAAAACUGAGAGGAGGAAACGCUUCCUAACUUUUUCUAACCCAGUAUUGCUCUGAUAUCAAAAAAAGACAAAGAAACAUUAAAAAAAAAAAAAAAAAAAAAAAAAAA